CUAGAAUGGUAUUAGAGUAUUUUUAAGUAAUCUACAUUUGUGUUUUUUAAUUAGUCCUGCAUGCUAUAUCACAGCCAUGGAGUCGCAUUAUUUUGUACAGUUUUUUUAAUGCUGGUGAGGACUGCAUGCUUCACCCUACUGUACUUGGCUUAGUCACUGUGGUAAGAAUAAUGUUUCUUUUUUCUUUUACAUGGGUAAUAUUGUUAAUAUCAGUGUAUCAGAAAUUUCUGUUUUCUUCUGUAGCUGGUAAAAUACAAGAGCACUAUUAUUGCAUGGGAACCUGAUCUUUCUCAGUUACUGGAAGUAACUAAAAAGAGAAGAAUGGAUGAGCUAGAAGAUGCAACUUUAUAUGCACUCACAGCCUUACUACUUCAGAUUCAGAAUAACCAAGAUCUGCUGCAUCUAGCACAGGAGGAAAGAGAAUCAGUUCAGGGUCUGCUACAAAAUCUUCAAGACUGGCAUACUUGCCAACCCAAUCAAACUACUAAUAUAAUUGUAACAAGUGGAGGUGUAGCAGUGUGCUUCUGUGGCCAAGGUAUUGCUUGAUAAAUCUGAAGCAACAAGACUGAAAUCUUUCGUGUAUCUAAAUAAAUGAACAUAAUACUGUGUAAACCUAUUCACUAAUAAGAUGACUAUAUUCAGUUUGAAAUAAUUAGGAAGAUACAAGAGUUAUUAAAUUUCUUAGAUUUUUUUCCAUAUACAGCAUUUUAAGCUAAUUCUGCAAAACAGUGAUAUAGUACACGUUACAAGGUAAUAAUAACAACUAUUGUGAUGUUUAUUAAUCAAAAAGGUACAAGUUCUACAACUAUACGUGUUUUUGUCUGUGUAUAUCCUGUAUCAAUAUAUAAUUUGAGAUAUUAAACAAUUACAUUAUGUAGAAAUAAAAUUAAAAUGUGUGUUAAUUUUGUUAAUUUUUUUCUGAUCUCUUGUGUUAAUUUUAAAUGUAAAGAGGUUUAUUAUUAUUAAUAGCUGAUUCACUAAUUUGCUGCAGAGGGCACAGUGUUGAAUAGAUGUAAAUAUAGUUAAAAGUGGUGACGUUGUGAAUUAAUUAUUUGUUUUAGGAAUGAAAAUAAAUUGUUAAAAAGCAUUAGUGGAAGCAUGUCUUUUUCCAGCUAUUUUAGAAUAAUACCCAACUAUUUUAAAAUCACAUUAUUCAUAUUGUGAAGAACGUCCGGGGAUCAUGCCCUGUCGGGAAGCCUGGGAGAGCAGGGGACCAUGAAAAGGGCAAGCCAUUCUCUGGGAUAGGAAAGGACAGCCACCCUGGGUUACGUCGGAGCCACAAGCAUGGGGCUGUAAUGCUCAAGCCUGUUGGGUUACGUGGCCACCACCACCACCAGGGGCCGCUGGGAUAAUUCCGUUUGAGGUGGAAGUGCUGCCAGAA